GAUGAAGAACGUAGCGAAAUGUGAUACUUGGUGUGAAUUGCAGAAUCCCGUGAACCAUCGAGUCUUUGAACGCAAGUUGCGCCCGAAGCCACUAGGCCGAGGGCACGCCUGCCUGGGCGUCACACGUCGUUGCCCCCCCCCCAUCUACUCCUUCGGGAUUGCGGGGGGCGGAUGAUGGCCUCCCGUGCGCCUAGCCGCGCGGUUGGCAUAAAUACCAAGUCCUCGGCGACGCACGCCACGACAAUCGGUGGUUGCGAAACCUCGGUUGCCCGUCGUGUGCGUUCGUCGCGCAUCGAGGGCUCGAAAAAAUGCUCGGCUCCGGCUCGGCUUUCAACGCGACCCCAGGUCAGGCGGGGUUACCCGCUGAAUUUAAGCAUAUCAAUAAGCGGAGGA
rnacentral:misc_RNA from 1 species